CCUGAACAUGCUGGGAGACUGAGACCUGUAGUGGGAGAAGGGAGGGAGGAGUGGGGAGGAGCCACCACCCCAGGGGAGGCUCAGCCUGUCAGGCCCAGGCUCUGCUGAGCUCCUGGCAGCAGGAACAGGAGGCUGGACUCAAGGCAGGCCUUCUGACUCCACUCCACAACACUCUAGCCCUACAUGUAACUACACCGUCAAAUGGAGCUUCUAACUGCUUCAAAAAAAAAUUGUAUAAGGAUGGAUGACAGGAUAAAAAUCAGCAAGAGACAUAGGCGUGAAGUUAGGGAGAUGGAACUGUGUUGUACACACAGCUUCUCACUGGAUUCGUCAUUCUGAGACUCUCUUCUACAGACUCUCAAAGGCAAGGAAAAAGAAAAGAAAUAUUAUAAAAGGAAAUAUUCCACUUCAUAUCACGUCAACAUUAUAAAGAAGAAUUAUAUCUGGGAACUAUGUAGCUGAAGCUAGUUGGUACAUGACAUGGCAAUACUCUACAAUCAGUCUGCCAAUGACUCUUGGGGAAGAAGCUGCGCUUUGCCAGAAUUUCAUUUCUAUGCCAAUGCUCCAGUUAAAGGAGAGCCCACUGUACAUGGCUGGAAAACGUAUCAAGCACUUUACAUUUCUUGUUCAGAUAGUAUACUGAUUUCAAUUUCUUUACACAGCCCUUCUAUAGCCUGUCUCUUGCCAGAUUAUAUUUUUUUAAAUUUAAUCACCUUAAUCUUGGAAGGGUCCCAAAAUGCACACUUCCUGUAAGCCACAGCUUUGACUCAACACUGCCAAACUCCUUCUCAGCACGCGCCAAGGACCAAGAUCAAGAGCUUCCUCCUCCUAAGCCACUACAGUCUAACAUAGAGGACAGAGAUACAUCCUAAAGCAUCUUCUGAUGUCCAUGGGAUGUUCAGAAACUUAGUCACUUGAAAAACCUCCCUGAGUGGAUAUGGAGUGGACAGUCGCUGUCCAACUUGUGGGGCUGGGGCUGCCCCAAAAGAACUGCUACAAAUGAGUCUGCCACUUAAAAUUCAAACAGAGGGCAGAGUUGGUAUUUCUGAGGAGAGUCAUUAAAAGCUAAGAAAUGCUUACUUCUUGAAAAUAAGGAGAUGGGGGGAUAAAAGGAAAAGGGAAUGGGAGUGUGUUUACUCCACUUGUAAAAUAUACUUCAAAGUCUGUACUUCCAAAAUCAGUUUUUCUUAUCCUGAUACUUUAUAAGAUUUCUUUGUUUGCUUCUUUUAAAUUAACAGCAAGUAGACAGCAUUGAAAGAGAAACCUCAUUCGACAUUCAUGUCAAAGGGCCUGGGGAGGUCAGAAUCAACCUGAGCGGCAACUAUUAACUAAAGUUUGGAGAGUGGAAAUACAAAAG
rnacentral:lncRNA from 1 species